ensembl:lncRNA
GUGAGUGGGAUUCCCGGAAGUAGGGAGGGGCUGGGAGAGGAGUGUUUCCGCUAGAGGGGGUGGGACUGUGCUCGGCGCACCUAGGGACCCUAGGCGAUGCUCCCCUCGGCCUCGGCGUCAACCACCAGGAAGACGGACCGGAAGACGGGGCUGGGUUUCACUGUGCGACGUCUUCAAGGCCGGGACCACCAGAGCCUGGAAAGCUUCUCCGUUCCCCCGUGACCCCGCUAGACCACCCCCCAGAGCCUCCCUCGGAGCCAAGUCCCGCCACAUGACCCAGUUCUGCCGACAGAACACGGAAAAAUGACGUAACGUGCACGGUCCAGGCCGGCCCGAGUCCCGCCUCUUCAGGCCGUGGCCGGGCCUCCAUCCGGGCACUUCCGCGGGCUCUGCCUGUUUGGACGGCAGUGUCCGCGGCCACGUGGAGCCACACCGUGGAGACGGCCGGACCUCCGCCACCUCCCCUGCCCGUGAUGCGGGUCAUGACACCCCACCCACCCUGCCUCUGUCCCCAGGGCUGGGUGAGAGGCCCCCGCACGCGGCGCUGGGCCCCGGGUCCAGAGUGGGCUCUGAAGCCAGCGUCUCUCCAGCGGGGAGGCCGGGCCUGGGGGCGCGUGCUCCCCUCGGCCCCGAGAGCUGGGCUGAGGGAAGGUGGCGGCGUGGGUGCUGCUGUGGACCCAAAAGGAAACCACGGCAGACGCCUGGCUCGGGAGCUGCUGAAAGGCUGGCGAGGGGGUGACUGACAGAGGGAGGGACGUCGUCCGCCGGCUUCCUCCUGUUCGCUGCGCCGCCCAUCUACGGGAGUGGGCCGUGCCCAGACGUGGAAACUGCGGCCCGGGGAGACCCAGGAACCUGCCCAUGUCACAAGGCAGUCUGUAGUGAGCCUGCGUGAGAACCCUUGCUCCAGGAAAGGGGUGACAGGGCGUCGCUGAGGAGCUGCCAGGCUUUCGGCCCUAAGCGGUCAGGCAGGUGUGGCGGGCUCUUGAUGAGAGGACUCUGCUCACAAGGGGACCGGGAGCACUUCGAUGUGGAAGCCAGACCACCCGCUCCUGAGGGCCAUGCAGAUGACCGCACCCAGGCCACCGCGAGCCCUGCCUGUUCAGUCUUCUGCUCCUGCUACUGUUUCUCUCGUGAUGAGAACUUAACUCUGUGAUGACGCAGCCGCCCGCCGACCGCCUGGGUACGCUGACCACAGCUCCGGGAGGACAAGCGGCCUCGGAGCGAUCUGACUUUCCCCGCAGUCUUCUCCCAAAAUUUAUUUCUAGGUGAAUGACUAACGUCAACUUCCCUAUGAGGUUCAGCAGUAAAGAAUCUGCCUGCAGUGCAGGAGACCCGGGUUCAUUUCCUGGGUGGGGAAGAUCCCUUGGAGGAGGGCAUGGCAACCCACUCCAGUGUUCGUGCCUGGAGAAUCCCAUGGGCAGAGGAGCCUGGCGGGCUACAGUCCCCGGGGUCGCAAAGAGUCAACACGACUGAGCACACACAAGGAAUGGCGGAGCGUGAGAAGGAGGACCUGUUCGAAGGGUUUUGUUUGCUUGCCAUGAGGCAUGUGGAAUCUCUGCUCCCUGACCAGGGAACCUGCACUCCCUGCAUUGGAAGGCAAAGUCUUAACCAUUGGACCACCAGGGGGGUCCCUCUAGUGUCUGUCCACUUCCCAGGAGCUUUCCUGUGCUCAUCACGACAGCCUUACAAGGUCAUAAGGGCGAGGAGACAGAUCCCUGGUCACAGACGACCCAGCAAGGUGACGAGACCUCUCCCUCAGCCAGGCUGGCGCUCGCCGGUUGUGGCCUUGGUUCUUAGUUGACACGUCCUCUGUAUAAGCCCCGAGUGACCCACUGCAGCCCCACGUUCUUCAGGACUAGCGAAAUAAGUAAUUUGUAAAUUUGAACGGAUGGAUAAUGAUGGAUUUUAAAAAACAUUUUGUUGAGGAAAUUUUAAGCUUAUAAGAGCUGGAGAGACUAGUGUGAAGAAUUCCCUUGUACACAGUUUCAGCCAUCAGCUGUCUUCCUUACUAGUUUUAUCUACCCUCUUCAACAAGCACUCACCCUUUUUUCUGGAGCUUAAAACACAUGCCAGCCACUGCACCAUCUCGCCUGAAAGUACUUCACUGUGCAUUUACAGCCAUUGCCCCAUUCAACAAAAGCAACAGCAGUCCAUGUUAAAUUUCCCCAAUUGUUUCAGAAAUAUCUUUUUCCAGCUGGUGGCUGAUACUCAGAGGAGUAUUGACUUUCUGGAGAAUCAAAGCAGAAACAAAAGGUUUUGCCUUGAACUUCUUGGCUGCCUGUCCAUUCCUCCCGACCUCUACCCUCCCAUCACCCUCUAAGCAGAGCCAAGGGCCAGGGUGACACUUUGAGAGUUGGUGAGCAGGUGUCCCAGAGCCGUGUAGGUAGGCCUCGGAAAGGUGUGGUCCUGACACCAAGUCCUCCUCCAGGAGAUCACCUCCUCAUCAGAAAAGAUGGACUCUCUCCAUCCGCACUCUCCACGUGGGGCCAAGAGGUCAGAGGUCCAGCUUUUCCUGAAGAGCCAGAAUCCACUGCAGAUCUCGUGACUCCACAUGGACUGCAAUCAGGAACCGGGUUCUGAAGGGUGAGGGGAAGGGACACACUCGAUUGUUCACAGGAGCGAACGCGUAACUACCCCACUCUGAAACACUUAGAGCGCUCUGUGUGUGCAGAAGCACUUGGGCACGAGCCUCAGAGCAGACGCCAGGGGAAGACGCCAGGGAGUCAGGGACUUCCCUGCCACAAGCAGAGGCCACAUGCGACAGAUCCCAGGGGGUUCCUUCCUGGUGUUCUGUGCCCUUAGUAACCAGAUCUGCCUUCAAGCCACGAGUUCUAAUAGGAAUCAUACUAUGUGUUAAUUAUAGGUUUAAAC